UGCAGUCGAACGCGAUCCAGGAGCUUGCUCCUGGUGAAAGUGGCGCACGGGUGCGUAACGCGUAUGCAACCUACCUUAAUCAGGGGGAUAGCCCGAAGAAGUUCGGAUUAACACCGCAUAACAUCAGGAUAUGGCAUCAUAACCUGAUCAAAUAUUUAUAGGAUUAAGAUGGGCAUGCGUGACAUUAGUUAGUUGGUGAGGUAACGGCUCACCAAGACGACGAUGUCUAGGGGAUCUGAGAGGAUGACCCCCCACACUGGUACUGAGACACGGACCAGACUCCUACGGGAGGCAGCAGUAAGGAAUAUUGGUCAAUGGGCGGAAGCCUGAACCAGCCAUGCCGCGUGCAGGAAGACUGCCCUAUGGGUUGUAAACUGCUUUUGUACCGGAAUAAACCCUUUUACGUGUAAGAGGCUGAAUGUACGGUAAGAAUAAGGAUCGGCUAACUCCGUGCCAGCAGCCGCGGUAAUACGGAGGAUCCAAACGUUAUCCGGAUUUAUUGGGUUUAAAGGGUGCGUAGGCGGCUUUUUAAGUCAGAGGUGAAAACUUGCGGCUCAACCGUAAGCUUGCCUUUGAUACUGAAGAGCUUGAAUGAACUAGAGGUAGGCGGAAUGUGACAAGUAGCGGUGAAAUGCAUAGAUAUGUCACAGAACACCAAUUGCGAAGGCAGCUUACUAUGGUUUAUUGACGCUGAGCACGAAGCGUGGGAUCAACAGGAUAGAUACCUGGUAGUCACGCCUAACAUGAUACUCAUGUACAUAUACAGUAGCG
rnacentral:rRNA from 1 species